GAAUACUUAUGCAUUAAACGGGAACUUAGAGAGAUUCCUACCCGAUACUGAUCAAAUAUUUGACUAACAAAGAAUCAUGUGUGAAGAAAUCCCUUGUGGCUUUAAAAUUCAUGGUAUUUCUUCACUUCUUUGGAAGAGCUGAAGGAUACAGUUCUCUAGAUAUGAAGUCUAAUCUGUAAUGAGAA